rnacentral:rRNA from 2 species
UGAUGUGAAAGCCCCCGGCUCAACCGGGGAGGGUCAUUGGAAACUGGGAAACUUGAGUGCAGAAGAGGAGAGUGGAAUUCCACGUGUAGCGGUGAAAUGCGUAGAGAUGUGGAGGAACACCAGUGGCGAAGGCGACUCUCUGGUCUGUAACUGACGCUGAGGAGCGAAAGCGUGGGGAGCGAACAGGAUUAGAUACCCUGGUAGUCCACGCCGUAAACGAUGAGUGCUAAGUGUUAGGGGGUUUCCGCCCCUUAGUGCUGCAGCUAACGCAUUAAGCACUCCCCCNGGGGAGUACGGUCGCAAGACUGAAACUCAAAGGAAUUGACGGGGGCCCGCACAAGCGGUGGAGCAUGUGGUUUAAUUCUAAGCAACGCGAAGAACCUUACCAGGUCUUGACAUCCUCUGACAAC